AUGAGUGUUGAAUCUCAUAUACUUUGUUAUAAAGAGAUGAAAAUUGGUGCUCUUCUGACCUCUGCUGGAAUCAAUAUUGGUCUUUGUAUACUUUUUCUGUUAUUCUAUUCCAUUUUGAGGAAGAACCCACAAAAUGUUAAGGUCUAUUUUGGGAGAAGGAUUGCUGAACAACAUAAGAGGCUCCGAGGAGCUUUUAUUUUGGAGAUAUUUGUUUCAUCCCACAUAGGAGCAGCUGCUGGAAUAGAAAUAAAUUGCUUCUAUACAUGUGUAGCUAAGCUAGCACAAAGAAGGGGUGUCCCUAACAUGUUGUUGAUUCCAUUUCUUCUACUAUAUUAUAUGAAUAGUCAGUCUAAUUGCUGA
rnacentral:rRNA from 1 species